AGCCACUGUUAGAGAUGCUGAUUUAGCAGACUUGGGAUGGGGCUUGGGAAUCCUUAUUUUUCUCAAGCACCCUACCUGCUCAUUUCAUUGAUUUUGAUGCAAAUGGUUAGGGAUUCGCCUCCCACUUAAGAAAUACCAUAUGGGAUUCCAAUCAGAAACCAGGAGUAGAGAGGCCGAGGUAUGAGAAAACCUGGUGAACUCAGACACAAGUUCUGGCUAUGUUGCCCAGUCAGGAGUGCAAUGGCUAUUCACUGAUGCAGUCACAGUACUACAACCUUGAACUCAUGGCCUCAAGUGAUCCUCCUGCCUCAGCCUCCAGUAGCUAGGACUACAGAAAUACUGGCAUGGACAAUAAUGUAAAGCUCAUAACACACCACUGUGACAAGGACAUCAACUACAAAGAAGUGCCAUCAAUUGAAAUGGUCUUUAACAUUGAUAUGGUUACAUAGUAACCAACUUGAAAUUCCCUGAAACAUUACAGGUCAUAUAUGAAAUAAAUGUUUUAGAGUUUUUUUCAAAUUUAUCAGCUAUCCUAAAAAUUUAUAAGAUAUUUCCAAUAAGUUGUGAAACUAAAAGAAACUUUUUCAAAUAUCAAAAAUAAAAAAUUUUCUUUUGACCAACCAUGCUGGAGGAAAAAUGACUUAUAUUUCUAUUCCCUUUACAUAAUGUAUUAUAACAUUGUUGCAUGAAAUGAUACUCAGAAAGAAUGUAUCAAAAAUAUAGGGAAAAGUUAGUAGAGAGCUAUGCCAGGCAGUACAUCAAUAAAUAUUAUGUUAUUAUUCUAGAUUUUGCAAUGUUUGUGGUAUUUGUCAUGUUUUAAAAAUUUAUAAUUUAUUAGAAUCAUUCUCAUUCUAAAUAAAAAUU